rnacentral:rRNA from 1 species
AAUCAACGCUGGCGGCGUGCCUCAGACAUGCAAGUCGAACGCGAAAGGCUCCUUCGGGGCCGAGUAGAGUGGCGCACGGGUGAGUAACACGUACGGUAAUUUGCCUUUGGGUGGGGAAUAACUCAGGGAAACUUGAGCUAAUACCGCAUAAUGCAGCGGCUCGACAUCGAGACAGUUGUUAAAGCGGGGGAUCGCAAGACCUCGCGCCUGAAGAGAAGCCUGCGGCAGAUUAGCUAGUUGGUAGGGUAAUGGCCUACCAAGGCGACGAUCUGUAACCGGCCUGAGA